UUCGGUUGAUCCUGCCGGAGGCCAUUGCUAUCGGAGUCCGAUUUAACCAUGCUAGUCGCACGAGUUUAGGCUCGUGGCAUAUAGCUCAGUAACACGUGGCCAAACUACCCUACAGACCGCGAUAACCUCGGGAAACUGAGGCCAAUAGCGGAUAUCACUCUCAGACUGGAGUGUCGAGAGUGAGAAACGUUCCGGCGCUGUAGGAUGUGGCUGCGGCCGAUUAGGUAGAUGGUGGGGUAACGGCCCACCAUGCCGAUAAUCGGUACAGGUUGUGAGAGCAAGAGCCUGGAGACGGUAUCUGAGACAAGAUACCGGGCCCUACGGGGCGCAGCAGGCGCGAAACCUUUACACUGCACGACAGUGCGAUAGGGGGACUCCGAGUGUGAGGGCAUAUAGCCCUCGCUUUUCUGUACCGUAAGGUGGUACAAGAAUAAGGACUGGGCAAGACCGGUGCCAGCCGCCGCGGUAAUACCGGCAGUCCGAGUGAUGGCCGAUAUUAUUGGGCCUAAAGCGUCCGUAGCCUGCUGUGUAAGUCCAUUGGGAAAUCGACCAGCUCAACUGGUCGGCGUCCGGUGGAAACUACACAGCUUGGGGCCGAGAGACUCAACGGGUACGUCCGGGGUAGGAGUGAAAUCCUGUAAUCCUGGACGGACCACCAAUGGGGAAACCACGUUGAGAGACCGGACCCGACGGUGAGGGACGAAAGCCAGGGUCUCGAACCGGAUUAGAUACCCGGGUAGUCCUGGCUGUAAACAAUGCUCGCUAGGUAUGUCACGCGCCAUG
rnacentral:rRNA from 1 species